CCAAUAGCGUAUAUUAAAGUUGUUGCAGUUAAAAAGCUCGUAGUUGAAUUUCGGGAUCAAUCUAUCGGUCGUGCAAUAGUACGUACUGAUUUUAUUGAUUCCUCCCUUCUGAUGAACUAUGAUGUCAUUAAUUUGGUGUCAUAGGGAAUCAGGACUGUUACUUUGAAAAAAUUAGAGUGUUUAAAGCAGGCUCACGCUUGAAUACAUUAGCAUGGAAUAACGGAAUAGGACGUUUGAUUCUAUUUUGUUGGUUUCUAGGAUCGACGUAAUGAUUAAUAGGGAUAGUUGGGGGCAUUAGUAUUCAAUUGUCAGAGGUGAAAUUCUUGGAUUUAUUGAAGACUAACUACUGCGAAAGCAUUUGCCAAGGAUGUUUUCAUUAAUCAAGAACGAAAGUUAGGGGAUCGAAGACGAUCAGAUACCGUCGUAGUCUUAACCAUAAACUAUGCCGACUAGGGAUCGGAUGAUGUUAAUUUUUUAAUGACUCAUUCGGCGCCUUACG
rnacentral:rRNA from 1 species